GAUGAACGCUGGCGGCGUGCCUAAUACAUGCAAGUCGAGCGAACGGACGAGAAGCUUGCUUCUCUGAUGUUAGCGGCGGACGGGUGAGUAACACGUGGAUAACCUACCUAUAAGACUGGGAUAACUUCGGGAAACCGGAGCUAAUACCGGAUAAUAUUUUGAACCGCAUGGUUCAAAAGUGAAAGACGGUCUUGCUGUCACUUAUAGCUGGAUCCGGGCUGCAUUAGCUAGUUGGUAUGGUAACGGCUUACCAAGGCAACGAUGCAUAGCCGACCUGAGAGGGUGAUCGGCCACACGGGAACUGAGACACGGUCCAGACUCCUACGGGAGGCAGCAGUAGGGAAUCUUCGGCAAUGGGGGAAAGCCUGACGGAGCAACGCCGCGUGAGUGAUGAAGGUCUUCGGAUCGUAAAACUCUGUUAUUAGGGAAGAACAUAUGUGUAAGUAACUGUGCACAUCUUGACGGUACCUAAUCAGAAAGCCACGGCUAACUACGUG
rnacentral:rRNA from 1 species